CGGUUGGGAGAAAGCCAUGCUGCCAUUGGGCUGACGGCGGCGGUGGGCUGCGUGCGUUGGAUGUAUGGGAUGGGGAUGAGGACAGGGAUGGGGACGAGGUGGGAUGGGAGGGACAGAGAUUUGGGAAUGGGUGGGGUGGGAAUGAGAAUGGGGAUGGGAUAGGAUGGGGACAGGAAUGGGUAUGGGGUGAGAAUGGGAUGGGAAUGAGAUUUGGGUUGGGAUGGGAUGGAGUGGGCAUGCAGUGAGAGUGGGAUGGGGAUGGCAUGGGAUGAGGAUAGCGACCGGGAUGGGAAUGGGAUAGGAAUGGGAUGGAAUGGGAUGGGGAUGACGUGGGAUGAGGAUAAUGACUGGGAUGGGAUGGGAAUGGGAUGGGAUGGGAUGGGAUGGGAUGGGGAUGCGAUUUGGGAUGAGGAUAGGAUGGAAUGGGCAUGCAAUGAGGAUGAGAGGGGGAUGGGAUGGGGAUGAGGAUAGCAAAAGGGAUGGGGACAGAGACAGGGAUGAAGAUGGAUGGGGAUGAGGAUUAGGGCGGGGAGGGGAAUGAGUAUGGGAUGGUAUGGGGGCAGGAAUGGGGAUGGGAUGGAAGUGGGAUGGGGAUGGGGAUGGGUGAGGAUAGAGAUGAGGAUGGGGACAGGAAUGGGGAUGGAGAUGGGAUAGGAUGGGAAUGAGGAUGGAGAUGGGAUAGGAUGGGAAUGAGGACAGGGAUGGGGAUGGGGUGAAGAUGGAGAUGGGAUAGGAUGGGAAUGAGGGUGGGGAUGGGGUGAAGAUGGAGAUGGGAUGGGAAUGAGGGUGGGGUGAAGAUGGAGAUGGGAUAGGAUGGAAAUGAGGGCAGGGAUGGGGAUGGGGUGAAGAUGGAGAUGGGAUGGGAAUGAGGGUGGGGUGAAGAUGGAGAUGGGAUGGGAAUGAGGGCGGGGAUGGGGACGGAGAUGGGAAGGAGGGCAGGAACGGAGAGGGGAUGCGGACAGCGAUGGGGAUGGAUGGGAAUGGGGAGGGGAUGGGCUCAGAUGGGUCCAUCUCCGCACCCGGCCGAGGGAAGGCGCCGCGCUCGGAGCGGA
ensembl:lncRNA